GGAGUCUGGACCGUGUCUCAGUUCCAAUGUGGGGGACCUUCCUCUCAGAACCCCUAACCAUCGUCGGCUUGGUAGGCCGUUACCCUACCAACUACCUAAUGGUACGCGAGCCGAUCUCCAUCCAAUAAAUCUUUCAACUGCCUACCAUGCGAUAAACAGUGUUACGGGGUAUUACACGACGUUUCCAUCGACUAUCCCCCUGAUGAAGGCACGUUGCUCACGCGUUACUCACCCUUUCGCCGGUCGCCGGCAUCGUAUUGCUACAACCCGCUGCCCCUCGACUUGCAUGUGUUAAGCCUGCCGCUAGCGUUCAUC
rnacentral:rRNA from 1 species